GAUGAAGAACGUAGCGAAAUGCGAUAAGUAAUGCGAAUUGCAGAAUUUCCGUGAGUCAUCGAAUCUUUGAACGCACAUUGCGCCCGCCAGUAUUCUGGCGGGCAUGCCUGUUCGAGCGACAUUUCAACCCUCAAGCACAGCUUGGUGUUGGGACUCGCGUUAAUUCGCGUUCCCCAAAUUGAUUGGCGGUCACGUCGAGCUUCCAUAGCGUAGUAGUAAAACCCUCGUUACUGGUAAUCGUCGCGGCCACGCCGUUAAACCCCAACUUCUGAAUGUUGACCUCGGAUCAGGUAGGAAUACCCGCUGAACUUAAGCAUAUCAAUAAGCGGAGGA
rnacentral:misc_RNA from 1 species